rnacentral:lncRNA from 1 species
UGGGACAGUAGUAGAAGGUUCCCACACACCGUCCCCCAACUUCCCCUAUGACGCCGUCUCCCAUGAGCUGGGUGCCUUAGCACAAUUAAUGAACCAACACGGUAACCUGGGGACAGAAAGCCACGCCGCGGGGUGUGCCACUUGGCAUGCUGCACACUCUGCACCGAAGGACACCAGAGGACCUCGGUGGCCCAGUCUCUCUGGCCUCCACCCUGUCCUUCUGUCUCCUGCACCCACAAGGUGGGACAGAGAAACAGACCCCUCCCCAAAGCCGGCCUCGGGGACCCCCCUCCAACCUUCCCAACCUGCAGAGGAGCUGCCAGAGAGGGCGCCCCACCCCCUGUGUGCCAGGAGAGGAUCAGACCCUGGGCCCGGGGCCUGCGCCAAGCCCAGGAGGAGGAGGCCCACAGGGAGGCCCGGGAGCCGCUGAGCAGUCACCAAAUCUGAGCAUUAAAAUGGCGGCUGCCUCCGCGUCUUUGGUUCUAGAUUUUGGAAGCCCCCUCUGUCACCUGGGGUUCUGAUUCCGUGAAUCUGCUCUGCUUGUCUCCUCGACUGUCCUGGGAUGAAGUGUCACCUGGACCUUUCCGCCACUGCCCUCCGUGAUCACCAACUCGAGAAGCUCCCCUCCCUCUGCUCUAAGACCCCACCUAGAGACUGGGUCUCCAUCUGGAUUCCUCUUGUGUUUUGCUUUGUUCUUUAUUUUUUGCAGUCCCGCGGAUGGAACCCAGGGGCGCUCGCCUCUGGGCCACAUCCCCCGCCCUUUUCAUUCUAUUCUGAGACGGGGUCUGGCUGGGCAGUCCAGGCUGGCCUCGAACUUGAGACCCUGCCGCCUCAGCCUCCUGUGUGCCACGCGCCCGGCCUGGCUUGUUCUCCUAGUGACCAGGGUAAUGGUUUGGAGAGGACCUGAGAGGCAGAGAGUUCUUCCCAUGGCCACGGCACGUCACGUGGAGGCCACAGACCUCAAGGUGUUCCAGGUGACUCAUGACUGUUCCAGUUGACCUUGACCAUCCGGCUGAGCCAGGUGAGUCAUUGGAACUCUGCUCAGGAUAUCUGCAAUCACACAAACAACCAAGCAAAAGUGUCACCAGCCCUACAUUCUGGCUGCCACGUGUGACCUGCCAGAGGAGAGGGCCCCCUGUGUGCCAGGCCUGGUGGCACUUUGCCUUCACACAGGAGGCCGCUCCCUGGAGGGAGGCUCAGCCCUCUGGGGGGGGGGUGAAUCUCAGAGAGGCCACGUGGGGACCCGUCCAUCCGGGAGCAGCGGAGGCUCCAGCGCCUGCCUCCCCUCCCCCACCCCGCCCCCAGCUGUGCCCCCCAAAGCUGCUGCUGCCCCAGCCACCAGCACCAUCGUGCCCCGGGGACACCACCAGGCCGUGGGGAGCACCUCACAGGCACCCACGGCUGCCCCCAGAACCUCCAGGUCUCAGACGGUCAGGAGGCCACCUGCGCCCAGCCCUACGCCCUCUGCCCAGGGCCCGGGGGGCUCAGCACCAGAGGCCUGCGGAGGGCACUCUGGGAUGGGCUCGGCGUCGUCGCCUGUGCCGUGAGGCCGAGCGGUGUCUGCGGGUCGGAGGGGGAGACAGGAAGACGCUCUUUACACGGGUGGCCUGCAGCCCGGUAAUGACACGGAACCAAGAGCAACAGCAAAAGUGACAGGCGACAGAGAAGGAAGGAAAUACAGCACCGGGUCGCAGACGCGCCAGCGCCUGAAGUCCCGCAGCCGGGGUGUCCCGACUGGGAAGUCCCAGCGGCCGCUCUCCACGGGUGACACUCUGAAGUCCUAGUCCCAGAGGGCCCCUUCCACACACGUUGGAACAAAGGAAGCUCCCUGACCUAGCGACCCCCUCAAGGACACACUUCACGUCCCCAAGACUGGCCAGAUCCCCCCAGGGAGGGAGUGACGGCCCUUGGGAUGGUGAGUGACUGUCGUUGCCCUGAGUGGGCCUCACCCCUGGGGAGGCAGGGCCGAGGUCAGGCAGCGCGGGGCCAGGCGGACCUGCAGGACCCCUCAGCCUCUGUCACCCCGCCUGGGGAGGGGGCGGGGAGGGGCUGACAUCUGGGACCUGCUCUGAGGGCACUCUGGGGCCAACCUGGAGCCUUAAGCCGCGUGGCAGGCCUCUGCCACCCGCCACGUUCCCAGCCCUCUGGCCUCCAAGGCAGUCCCUCUCCAGGGUGCUGGGCCCCACAGACCACAGAACUCGGGUUCCCUGCAGAAGCCCUGGACAGGGCGGGGAGGGUCCUGAGACGCUCCAGCCCCCUUCUCGCCACCAGACCUGGAGCCCUCUGUACCACCGGGACCGGCUCAGCGAGCCCAGGCGGCCCAGCGCCCAGCCCUGCGACAGCAGCGCCCCCUGCCGGCCGCGGGCCUCUGGACGCCCUCUCAGCGCCUCCCUCGCUCUCUGCCUCCCCCUGCAGGCCAUCUCGGGAAGGGCGGCUCGCAGUGGGUCCCCGAUGGUCAGAGCCAGGCCCUGGGCUCAGGUGGACCUGGGUUCCAUUCUCAGCCCCACCACUUACUCAGGGAGCCUCAAGUGUCUACAGAAAUCCUCAAACUUUAGUUCAAAGCUUGUCAUUUGUAAAAUGCACGUGAAUUUUUAAAAAAUAUACUUUUGGUGGAGAUGUAAAACCCUUGCUGGGGAGCGCCGCCUGGCACGUGCCGGCCCUGGGUCCCAUCCUCAGCCUCAUAAAACUAAAUA